AUGCUGCAAGGUGCGCCGGCCCUAAGGGAAUUGGAUUUAUUAUCCUGCGGCUGCUUGGAAUCUUUAGAUCUGCAUUACUGCACGGCACUGGAAAGGGUGGAGGUUGUUGACUGUUGUUUGAUCGGGGAAGUCAAGGGCUUGCAUAAGUUGCAAUCCCUCAGAAAUUUCGAUCUAUCUAACAGCGAAUUUUUGAAAUCUCUAGAGCUGCAUUCCUGCACGGCACUGCAAGAGUUGAGUACUUGGACCUGUUAUUCGCUCAAGGUGCUAGAGGGCCUUGAAUCCCUCAGCAGCCUGAGGCGAUUGACAAUAUGCAAUGCAUUGGAGCUUUUGUCAGGGCAGCAGGGUUAUGAACAAUGCCCUCGACUGGAAAGCCUUCAAAUCGACGACUUCAAUGCCCUUACCACAUCGUUCUUCCGCAAACUACGUGCAUCACUCCAAAAACUAAGUGAAGUGGAGAGACUGACGGAAGAGCAAGAAAGUGAACUUCUGCUCCUCAGUUCCUUGGGACAUCUUGAUUUCUCUAUUCUACCAUAUCUCGAAGAUCUUCCUGCGGGGCUCCACAGCCAUCCUUCCCUCAAGAGGUUGGUGAUCAGCAGAUGUCCGAGAAUCUCGAGGCUUCCAGAAAAGGGCCUCCCGCCUUCUCUGGAAAAGUUGGAGACCUGGUUUUGCAGCGACGAGCUAAAUGAUCAAUGCAGAAUGCUAGCAUCAAGCAAGCUACGAGUCCAAACUCUUCCGCACAUGACCUGA
rnacentral:rRNA from 1 species